UCAUAGGAUCCUUUAGGAUCCUUUUAUAUAAUGAAAUGAACAUUUU
rfam:Picea glauca, whole genome shotgun sequence.